AUGGUAGACGAGCCUAAGAAAGGUUUUCCGUCCUGGUCUCAAAUAUGGGUAGACAAAGGUUUUGCUGGAGGGUUGUCCAUGUCAAAACAUGCUUCUUUGACACGGAGAGCUCUAAACGUACCUUUCAAAACCCUAUCAUCUCUUAACUGCGGCACUAGGAGAGGGUUUCUGAAGGUUGCUAGAACCGUUAUAUUUGGUGGCGCUGGUAUGGCGGAAGAAGUUCAUCGCCAAGCUAGGGAGGUUGGCGAUGUGUGUUCCAUAACUUAUCCCUUUCCCAAAGAAGAGGUUCAACAACAUGGUCUUGUACAAGAUGGAUGCAAAAUGGAUGCCUCGGCUGUACUAUACACCAGUGUCAAAUCAGCUCAUACUUCUGUUGCAAUGUUACACCAGAAGGAGAUAAAAGGAGGAAUUGUUUGGGCACGUCAGCUGGGUGGGGAGGGUUCCAAGACUCGGAAGUGGAAGCUCAUUGUCAGAAAUCUUCCUUUCAUGGCGAAGGUCAGUGAUAUUAAAGAUAUGUUUUCAUCUGCGGGAUUUGUUUGGGAUGUUUAUAUACCACAGAAUUCUGCUUUAUUUUCAUUCCUGUUGUCUAAAGGUUUUGCUUUCGUCAAAUAUACACGCAAACAAGAUGCGGAAAAUGCAAUACAAAAGUUCAAUGGACAAAAACUUCUUAAAAGACCAAUAGCUGUCGACUGGGCUGUUCCAAAGCAGAUAUAUGGUAGUGGCAAUGACGCUCUUGCUUCAGAAGAUGGUAUUAUACUCAAAGCAUGCAAUGAAAACACUGGUUUUACAGGAGAAAAGGGUGGAAGAGAUGGGGGAAAUGAUAGCAGCAGCGAUGAUUUCGAGGGUGACGCUGGAGAUACAUAUGAAACGCCCCAGCACCUUGAUAGGAUUGGCGCUGCUCCAGAUGACUCCAAUACAGCAGAGAUGAAAGACAUCCCUACUGAAAUUGAUUUUGAGGAGGAAGCAGAUAUAUCAAGAAAAGUUCUAAAAAACUUGACCACUUCCUCUUGUACUGUAACAUUGAUGAUAUCUGAAAUUGAUUUUGAGGAGGAAGCAGAUAUAUCAAGAAAAGUUCUAAAAAACUUGACCACUUCCUCUUGUACUGUAACUACUGAUGAUAUGGGUGUUGAUAAUUCUGCAUUUCCCAAAGGGAACAAGGAGCCAACUAUUGAUUUUGGGGAGGAAGCAGACAUUGCUAGAAAAGUUCUAAAAAAGUUUACCACGGCCUCUGGUACAGUAACUGCUGUUGAUGAUUCAUUGCCGAAAAGUAAAAAGGAGCCAACUAUUGAAGAAUCUGUUAAUGAGCCUAGUAAAUUACCUUCUGAGACUGCGCCUAAUAACUUAUCUUCUGAAAGUGCCAGUGCAUCAGAUGCUGCUAAACCACAAACAGAAGAAGAAGAUGAUUUGCAUAGAACAAUUUUCAUCAGCAACCUUCCUUUUGAGAUCACUUAUGAAGAAGUCAAACAAAGGUUUUCUGCUUUUCGGCAAGUGCAAUCUUUUGUCCCAGUUCUUCAUCCACUUACCAAGCGACCAAAAGGAACAGGCUUUCUCAAGUUUAAGACUAUAGAUGCAGUGACCUCUGCGGUUUCAGCUGGUAGUGCUGCAUCUGGCUUGGGAAUUUUUCUCAAGGGUAGACAACUGACAGUCUUCCAGGCUUUGGAUAGAAAAUCGAGACGGAAGAAAAUAUGGCCAAAAAGGAGGACAUAGACCACCGCAAUCUCUAUUUGGCAAAGGAAGGUCUUAUUCUUGCGGGAACUCCAGCUGCAGAAGGGGUUUCAGCUACUGAUAUGUCAAAACGCCAAAUGUUGGAGAGGAGCAAGGCCAUGAAGCUUAAAUCUCCAAACUUUCAUGUUUCGAAGACGAGAUUAGUUAUGUACAAUUUGCCAAAGUCCAUGACUGAAAAACAGCUUAAAAAACUUUGUAUUGAUGCGGUUACCUCACGAGCUAAGCUACAAAAAUCUGUGAUUCGACAGAUAAAGUGCUUGAAGGAUGUGAAAAAGGGAAAGAUUGUCACAAAGAACCACUCACGCGGUGUUGCUUUCAUUGAGUUUACAGAACAUCAGCAUGCCCUUGUGGCUUUGAGAGUUCUUAACAACAAUCCUGAAACUUUUGGCUCAGAACACCGGCCAAUAGUGGAGUUUGCACUUGAUAAUGUUCAGAAAUUGAGAGCACGUCAGGUUUCACAACAAACACAGCAGCAUGCCGCUAAUGGUAAUCAGAAAGAGGUUCAUAGGAGAUCACGAGAAUACAAGAUUGAGGAGGUAACUGGACCUCGCUGGAUACUCGAGAUGGUGGGUACCGAUGCAGUUGAUCCAAAGAACCGGCACAAGAGAAAGCUUGAGACAGAGAGCUUGCUUGAAUCAAGCAAAGUCAUAUCAGUCAUGACAUGA